rnacentral:sRNA from 1 species
UUUUUGACUCAAGUAAUGUAAACUGUAGGAGCUAUGCAGAGGAGAGGGACGGCUAGGUUCAGUAGCACUGGCUUCCUCUCCAACCCAGAGGAAGAGGAAAUGGGGCAGCCACUCAGGCUGUGAAAGAGGCUGUCAUCAGCCCUCCCGGAACCAGCGCUGUGUGCAAGGUGCAAACCCACCUCAUUCCACUGGGCCCGCAUCAAUAGUGUGGUCCUGAGACCAAACCUAAGAGCUGCUGCCUGGGCACUCGCUGCGGGGACGCCUGUGAUGCCUCCCCGUGCCCAUGUGGGCUGUGGGAGGGCAGGCCGGACCCCAUGUGUCUGUCCUAGAACCUACUGGACUCCAAGUCCCUGAAACUCAUCAUCAGCAUGACCCUGCACGACCGCACCACCAAGUCCCUACUGCACCUGCACAAGAAGAAAAAGCCACCAAGCAUCAGCGCCCAGUUCCAGACAUCCCUUAACAAGCUCUUGGAGGCGCUGGGGAAGGCGGAGCCCUUCUUUAUCCGCUGCAUCCGUUCCAAUGCUGAAAA